rnacentral:rRNA from 1 species
GAUUGAACGCUGGCGGCAGGCCUAACCCAUGCAAGUCGAAUGGUAACAGGAAACAGCUUGCUGUUUCGCUGACGAGUGGCGGACGGGUGAGUAAUGUCUGGGAAACUGCCUGAUGGAGGGGGAUAACUACUGGAAACGGUAGCUAAUACCGCAUAACGUCGCAAGACCAAAGAGGGGGACCUUCGGGCCUCUUGCCAUCAGAUGUGCCCAGAUGGGAUUAGCUAGUAGGUGGGGUAACGGCUCACCUAGGCGACGAUCCCUAGCUGGUCUGAGAGGAUGACCAGCCACACUGGAACUGAGACACGGUCCAGACUCCUACGGGAGGCAGCAGUGGGGAAUAUUGCACAAUGGGCGCAAGCCUGAUGCAGCCAUGCCGCGUGUAUGAAGAAGGCCUUCGGGUUGUAAAGUACUUUCAGCGGGGAGGAAGGGAGUAAAGUUAAUACCUUUGCUCAUUGACGUUACCCGCAGAAGAAGCACCGGCUAACUCCGUG